GAGUGGGGGAUAACGUAGCGAAAGUUACGCUAAUACCGCAUACGAUCUAAGGAUGAAAGUGGGGGAUCGCAAGACCUCAUGCUCGUGGAGCGGCCGAUAUCUGAUUAGCUAGUUGGUAGGGUAAAAGCCUACCAAGGCAUCGAUCAGUAGCUGGUCUGAGAGGACGACCAGCCACACUGGAACUGAGACACGGUCCAGACUCCUACGGGAGGCAGCAGUGGGGAAUUUUGGACAAUGGGCGAAAGCCUGAUCCAGCAAUGCCGCGUGAGUGAAGAAGGCCUUCGGGUUGUAAAGCUCUUUUGUCAGGGAAGAAACGGUGAGAGCUAAUAUCCCUUGCUAAUGACGGUACCUGAAGAAUAAGCACCGGCUAACUACGUGCCAGCAGCCGCGGUAAUACGUAGGGUGCAAGCGUUAAUCGGAAUUACUGGGCGUAAAGCGUGCGCAGGCGGUUUUGUAAGUCUGAUGUGAAAUCCCCGGGCUCAACCUGGGAAUUGCAUUGGAGACUGCAAGGCUAGAAUCUGGCAGAGGGGGGUAGAAUUCCACGUGUAGCAGUGAAAUGCGUAGAUAUGUGGAGGAACACCGAUGGCGAAGGCAGCCCCCUGGGUCAAGAUUGACG
rnacentral:rRNA from 1 species